rnacentral:lncRNA from 1 species
AAUUAGUAAUAAUAAUAAUCUUGUCUAAAUUUUGCACAGUAUACCGACUCCCUAGUAAUAUAAUUAUUGUUUGCCACGAUAAACACUUUACACUAUAUUUAUUAACUAAAAACUCUCAUAUAAUAUUAGUGGUUUGUCUUGACUCAGUAUUGACAGAAAAUGCAUCUAAGUUAUUUAGUGGACGGUCUCACCACAUUGUCGAUAGUAGGAAUAUUAUCACUAGGCACAACGUAUACUUGGCACCACUUUUAACAAAAGAUUAUUUCCCCUGACACAAUGAGUGCUUGAUAUCAUAUUUACCAAAAUGAGGACUAUGAGGAGUAGAAAGCUACUCCUUCUCUACUUUUUAAAAUCUCUUAUUGGAUAGAGUGAUUUACCAAAAAUGAUUUAUAAAAAAAGUUACCAACUACUAAAAUUAACUUUUAUCUUUUUAAAAUCACUUUUAAUCCUCUGAAAAGUAAUUAGUCAGACCUUCUUCUACGUAAUUGAAAAAAAAAAAAUCUUCUCCCAUAUAUAUAAUACACAAGAGAUAUUGAAUAAUUGAAUUUCUAUCCACAAUUAUAAAAACAAAAUGAUUUUCCACCCUAUUUAUGAGGGUUCCCAAAAUGAAAUGUUCUUGUCUCGUUAAUUAGAUAAGUAGAAAAUAUAAGUAAUAGUAAUUAACAAUGCAUUUGAUGUUGAUUGGGUAAUGGCUAGUCUUAAAAAGAGGGCGGUAAAAUUUAAUUUAGUCCUCCGCUUGCCAUUACUUCGAGGCUUUUCACUUUCUAGAGAGGGCCUUAAUCACAUUAACCUUACAAGAAAAAAUUAAUUGUUUUUGGGACAGGCAUGCACCUAGCUAGCUACCUAUGUACUGAAUAUUGAAUUACCACUAGUCGGGUCCGAAUCUAUUCUAGAUUUUGUGAUAGAAAUUUACCAUAAUUUCUUUUAUUGCAAUAAAAUAUGAGUUUUGAUGUCAAGACGUGUAUUUUUUUAAAAGCUAAAUGUAUAUUAAAAAAACAAUAAAAGCAUGUUUAAUAACCCAAUAACUCGGUCGUGGAUCCCUUUUAUGUGUAAGGUUUCAAAUUCCCUGUUUUAUAUAUUAAUUAGGGUCGAUUUUUAUUAACCCAAUAACCCCUCGUUUUAUUGACAUUUUUGGGUGAUAGAAUUAAAUACCAUAAUGAAUUAGAGUGUUACAUACACGUGUAAGUUCUAAAGAAUUAAAGCUUUUAAUUUAUUCGGCUAAAUGAUCCGUUUUCGAAAUUCAUGUUGUCAACUAAUGUUUCGUUUCGUUAAUAGUCCAGGCUCGUUCAUUGAUAUAUAUAAUACUGGCCUCA